GACGAACGCGGGCGGCGUGCUUAACACAUGCGAGUCGAACGGAAAGGCCCUGCUUUUGUGGGGUGCUCGAGUGGCGAACGGGUGAGUAACACGUGAGUAACCUGCCCUUGACUUUGGGAUAACUUCAGGAAACUGGGGCUAAUACCGGAUAGGAGCUCCUGCUGCAUGGUGGGGGUGGGAAAGGUUCGGCGGUUGGGGAUGGACUCGCGGCUUAUCAGCUUGUUGGUGGGGUAGUGGCUUACCAAGGCUUUGACGGGUAGCCGGCCUGAGAGGGUGACCGGCCACCUUGGGCCUGCGAUACGGCCCCGCCUCCUGCCUUCCUCCGCCGUUCGGCGUCUUGCCCCCUGUGCGGCCGCCUGAUGCAGCAACGCCGCGUGCGGGAUGACGGCCUUCGGGUUGUAACCCGCUUUCGCCUGUGGCGCCGCGUGCGUGCCGGUGCUGGGUCCAGCCGCGCCGGCUCCCUCCGUG
rnacentral:rRNA from 1 species